rnacentral:rRNA from 1 species
GUGAGGAAUAUUGCGCAAUGGCCGAAAGGCUGACGCAGCGACGCCGCGUGAAGGAUGAAGUCCGUUAGGACGUAAACUUCUUUUGCAAGGGAUGAAUGUUCCCGAUUUAUCGGGAAUUGACCGUACCCUGCGAAUAAGGAUCGGCCAACUACGUGCCAGCAGCCGCGGUAAUACGUAGGAUCCGAGCGUUGUCCGGAAUUACUGGGUGUAAAGGGCGUGUAGGUGGGUCUCUAAGUCGGGGGUGAAAUCCUGGAGCUUAACUCCAGAAUUGCUUCCGAUACUGGAGGUCUUGAGUACGGCAGAGGGAGAUGGAAUUCAUGGUGUAGCGGUGAAAUGUGUAGAUAUCAUGAAGAACACCGGUAGCGAAGGCGGUCUCCUGGUCCGUUACUGACACUGAGGCGCGAAAGCGUGGGGAGCAAACAGGAUUAGAAACCCCAGUAGUCC